AAGUCGAACGAACUCUGGUAUUGAUUGGUGCUUGCAUCAUGAUUUACAUUUGAGUGAGUGGCGAACUGGUGAGUAACACGUGGGAAACCUGCCCAGAAGCGGGGGAUAACACCUGGAAACAGAUGCUAAUACCGCAUAACAACUUGGACCGCAUGGUCCGAGUUUGAAAGAUGGCUUCGGCUAUCACUUUUGGAUGGUCCCGCGGCGUAUUAGCUAGAUGGUGGGGUAACGGCUCACCAUGGCAAUGAUACGUAGCCGACCUGAGAGGGUAAUCGGCCACAUUGGGACUGAGACACGGCCCAAACUCCUACGGGAGGCAGCAGUAGGGAAUCUUCCACAAUGGACGAAAGUCUGAUGGAGCAACGCCGCGUGAGUGAAGAAGGGUUUCGGCUCGUAAAACUCUGUUGUUAAAGAAGAACAUAUCUGAGAGUAACUGUUCAGGUAUUGACGGUAUUUAACCAGAAAGCCACGGCUAACUACGUGCCAGCAGCCGCGGUAAUACGUAGGUGGCAAGCGUUGUCCGGAUUUAUUGGGCGUAAAGCGAGCGCAGGCGGUUUUUUAAGUCUGAUGUGAAAGCCUUCGGCUCAACCGAAGAAGUGCAUCGGAAACUGGGAAACUUGAGUGCAGAAGAGGACAGUGGAACUCCAUGUGUAGCGGUGAAAUGCGUAGAUAUAUGGAAGAACACCAGUGGCGAAGGCGGCUGUCUGGUCUGUAACUGACGCUGAGGCUCGAAAGUAUGGGUAGCAAACAGGAUUAGAUACCCUGGUAGUCCAUACCGUAAACGAUGAAUGCUAAGUGUUGGAGGGUUUCCGCCCUUCAGUGCUGCAGCUAACGCAUUAAGCAUUCCGCCUGGGGAGUACGGCCGCAAGGCUGAAACUCAAAGGAAUUGACGGGGGCCCGCACAAGCGGUGGAGCAUGUGGUUUAAUUCGAAGCUACGCGAAGAACCUUACCAGGUCUUGACAUACUAUGCAAAUCUAAGAGAUUAGACGUUCCCUUCGGGGACAUGGAUACAGGUGGUGCAUGGUUGUCGUCAGCUCGUGUCGUGAGAUGUUGGGUUAAGUCCCGCAACGAGCGCAACCCUUAUUAUCAGUUGCCAGCAUUAAGUUGGGCACUCUGGUGAGACUGCCGGUGACAAACCGGAGGAAGGUGGGGAUGACGUCAAAUCAUCAUGCCCCUUAUGACCUGGGCUACACACGUGCUACAAUGGAUGGUACAACGAGUUGCGAACUCGCGAGAGUAAGCUAAUCUCUUAAAGCCAUUCUCAGUUCGGAUUGUAGGCUGCAACUCGCCUACAUGAAGUCGGAAUCGCUAGUAAUCGCGGAUCAGCAUGCCGCGGUGAAUACGUUCCCGGGCCUUGUACACACCGCCCGUCACACCAUGAGAGUUUGUAACACCCAAAGUCGGUGGGGUAACCUUUUAGGAAC
rnacentral:rRNA from 1 species